rnacentral:tRNA from 1 species
GAAUCAAGUUUUCAAGAAAAAGCUUCUAACUUUAUUCUUAAGCACCCUAUGUUUUUGAUUCU